GAAUGCCUCCAAGAAGGGUUUCCAGUAUCGUUGCCUGUUCCACUAAGCAAAUGUACUAUGCUUUGUUCUGCAUCAUAGGCAUUUAAGAGGUUUCUUGUGUGCCUCGAGGAAGCAACAUCCACAUGGCGCUCUCUCAUAGUAAACUUAUCAAACGCUUUUCCAGAAUUCACAAGCGGGUUACACAGCAACCAACAGGAGAGAAGAAGAAGAGGAAGAAGAGGCGAAUGACGGAGAGGUGACUAAAAUGCGCCAGUGUGUAGAUGAUAUUUUUGUUGAUUAACAGAGCUCAUAAUUAUUUAUAAUUAGAAGAAGUUUCAGCUUCAUUCAGCUAACAAAACAUGAAACGGAAAUCUGAAGCGAGGAUUUCGUAACCGCUUCUCAUAAGAAGGAGAAGAAAGAAACCUCCAGUUUAGAAGGAGAGAAAGAAGAACAGUACUAACGUGCGCAGCAG
rnacentral:misc_RNA from 1 species